rnacentral:rRNA from 1 species
GACAGAGGGUGCAAACGUUUGUUCGGAAUUACUGGGCGUAAAGCGCGUGUAGGCGGCUAAGUAAGUCGGGCGUGAAAUCCCACGGCUCAACCGUGGAAGUGCACUCGAAACUGCAUAGCUAGGGUCCUGGAGAGGAAGGUGGAAUGCUUGGUGUAGAGGUGAAAUUCGUAGAUAUCAAGCGGAACACCGGUGGCGAAGGCGGCCUUCUGGACAGUGACUGACGCUGAGACG